rnacentral:rRNA from 1 species
ACUGGUGGAGCGCUUAGAAGUGAGAAUGCCGGUAUGAGUAGCGAAAGAAGGGUGAGAAUCCCUUCCACCGAAUAUCUAAGGUUUCCUGAGGAAGGCUCGUCCGCUCAGGGUUAGUCGGGACCUAAGCCGAGGCCGAUAGGCGUAGGCGAUGGACAACAGGUAGAGAUUCCUGUACCAGUGCUAAUUGUUUAACCGAUGGGGUGACACAGAAGGAUAGGGAAUCGCACGAAUGGAAAUGUGCGUCCAAGCAGUGAGUGUGAGAAGUAGGCAAAUCCGCUUCUCACGAAGCAUGAGCUGUGAUGGGGAAGGAA